rnacentral:rRNA from 1 species
CAGAGGGGGCAAGCGUUGUUCGGAAUUACUGGGCGUAAAGGGCGCGUAGGCGGCCUACUAAGUCGAACGUGAAAUCCCCGGGCUCAACCCGGGAACUGCGUCCGAUACUGGAAGGCUUGAAUUCGGGAGAGGGAUGCGGAAUUCCAGGUGUAGCGGUGAAAUGCGUAGACAUCUGGAGGAACACCGGUGGCGAAGGCGGCAUCCUGGACCGGCAUUGACGCUGAGGCGCGAAAGCCAGGGGAGCAAACGGGAUUAGAUACCCCGGUAGUCCUGGCCCUAAACGAUGAAUGCUUGGUGUGGCGGGUAUCGAUCCCUGCCGUGCCGAAGCUAACGCAUUAAGCAUUCCGCCUGGGGAGUACGGUCGCAAGGCUG